rnacentral:lncRNA from 1 species
CCCAGUCUGUUCUGACUCAGCCUCGCUCAGUGUCCAGGUCUCCUGGACAGUAGGUUACUAUCUUCUGCACUGGAACCAGCAGUGACAUUGGGGGUUAUGACCUUGUCUCCUGGUGCCAGUAGCACCCAGGCAAAGCCCCCAAACUCAUGAUUUAUGAUGUCGGUAAUUGGCCCUCAGGGGCCCCUGGUUGCUUCUCUGGCUCCAAGUCUGGCAACACGGCCUCCCUGACCAUCUCUGGGCUCCAGGCUGAGGACGAGGCUGAUUAUUACUGCAGCUCAUAUGC